rnacentral:snoRNA from 1 species
UUGCAAUGAUGAAAAUCUUAGGACACCUUAAGAUAAAUAAUGAUACAAACUAAGCGUUACCAUGACUGAGCAGC